UACGAAGGGGGCUAGCGUUGCUCGGAAUCACUGGGCGUAAAGCGCACGUAGGCGGAUCUUUAAGUCAGGGGUGAAAUCCCAAGGCUCAACCUUGGAACUGCCUUUGAUACUGGGGAUCUCGAGUCCGGAAGAGGUUGGUGGAACUGCGAGUGUAGAGGUGAAAUUCGUAGAUAUUCGCAAGAACACCAGUGGCGAAGGCGGCCAACUCGGUCCGGGAACUGACGCUGAGGUGCGAAAGCGUGGGGAGCAAACAGGGAGUUAAGAUACCCUGGAGUCCC
rnacentral:rRNA from 1 species